GACGAACGCUGGCGGCGUGCUUAACACAUGCAAGUCGAGCGGUAAGGCCCUUUCGGGGGUACACGAGCGGCGAACGGGUGAGUAACACGUGGGUGACCUGCCCUCAGCUCUGGGAUAAGCCUGGGAAACCGGGUCUAAUACCGGAUAUGACUCCAUGACGCAUGUUGUGGGGUGAAAGCCUUGUGCGGCUGAGGAUGGGCCCGCGGCCUAUCAGCUUGUUGGUGGGGUGAUGGCCUACCAAGGCGACGACGGGUAGCCGGCCUGAGAGGGCGACCGGCCACACUGGGACUGAGACACGGCCCAGACUCCUACGGGAGGCAGCAGGUGGGGAAUCUUGCGCAAGUGGGCGAAAGCCUGACGCAGCGACGCCGCGUGAGGGAU
rnacentral:rRNA from 1 species